GAGUACGGCCGCAAGGCUGAAACUUAAAGGAAUUGGCGGGGGAGCACUACAACGGGUGGAGCCUGCGGUUUAAUUGGACUCAACGCCGGAAAACUCACCGGGGGCGACAGCAAUAUGUAGGUCAGGUUAAAGGUCUUACCUGGAUCGCUGAGAGGAGGUGCAUGGCCGUCGUCAGUUCGUACUGUGAAGCAUCCUGUUAAGUCAGGCAACGAGCAAGACCCGUGCCCACUGUUACCAGCAUAUCCUUUAUGGAUGAUGGGGACUCUGUGGGGACCGCUGCUGCUAAAGCAGAGGAAGGUGCGGGCUACGGUAGGUCAGUAUGCCCCGAAUCUCCCGGGCUACACGCGGGCUACAAUGGUUGGGACAAUGGGUAUCUACUCCGAAAGGAGUUGGCAAUCUCUUAAACCCAAUCGUAGUUCGAAUUGAGGGCUGUAACUCGCCCUCAUGAAGCUGGAAUCCGUAGUAAUCGCGUUCCAACAUAGCGCGGUGAAUCUGUCCCUGCUCCUUGCACACACCGCCCGUCAAACCAUCCGAGUGAGGUAUGGGUGAGGGCACGAACUUAGUGUCGUGCUCGAACCUAAAUUUCGCAAGGAGGGUUAAGUCGUAACAAGGUAGCCGUAGGGGAAUCUGCGGCUGGAUCACCUCCU
rnacentral:rRNA from 1 species